AAUGAAUUGCCUGAAAAAAAAGGAUUACCUUGAUAGGGUAAAUCAUGUAAUUAUAUUACAUUCAUUA
rnacentral:tRNA from 1 species